ensembl:lncRNA
UCACGGGAGUUUAGCAAGCCAAACAAUGGGAUUAAGGAGCAAAAGCAAUGGUUCUCCUUGCUGUGUUGUCGGUUGUAAUGUUAGAUCGCACGAUCGGGAAGGGAAUAAGCUUGAAAAUUGGCUCUCUUUUUAUUCUUUCCCCACCUGGAAGCAACGUGAGGGAGCUUGGUUGUUAUUAAUAGAAGGCAUCUAGCCUGGAUAGCAGCUGCGAGAUGCGCUGAUAUCCAGUUCGCUACCAUCCACAGAUAUCUGUUGGUGUGCUACAGACAUUUUCAUUCAGCAGCACCUCUGGAAUCUGUUAAUCCAGGCCUGACCUCCAGGACGCUCCACUGCUAAUGUUUUGUUUCUCUCUAAGAGUGUUUGUGGAGGAUUUGGCACAGACACAGACAGACAUGAGUGCAAGAUGUGCAGUGAUUACAGAACACUUGGGCUCAUUAUCAUACCACUAUUGAGCUCAUAGUGUAAAAAUAAGUGAGUGACAUUACUUAACAAAAGUCACUGCUUACAGUAGUUUGGAAUAAAUACAUGGGAUGAUCCAUGAUUUGGGGAAAUUAUGGCAACAGUAGUGUUUUUAAUGAUUUGGGGAAAUAAACUGCACGUGGCACACUGGUGUCUGUGGUGUUGGAUGCCUUAUUACUCUUAUGGCCAACAGUUGCUUGCAAAUGUGAAGUUGUAUUAACUUAUAGAUUUUGUUUUCUAGGAUGCAGGCUCCAGGUGAAGCUAGAAGUUAAACAGACUUAACGUGAAAACCACACUAACAUCUCCUAACGCAGGUUUACAGGCCUGGAGCGGAACUACUCCAGGGGAGAAGCCCUGAAACUUUUAAUAGAGAAUGUGCAACUUUAUUGUGUAUCUCUAAUUGUGUUGAGUUGACGCAUGGCAAGAACCAUGUGGCAAAAGAGGCCUUUGUGGGGGAGCUUUCAUUUUUAAAUUGCAGGUACCAUGACGUGAGUGGUAUGAAAGGAGAGACUGAGGUGUAGGUGCAGACUGAGACUAGGAGAGGAGGCUCCAAGAGGACCAGUGGGAAGCAGGGACCAUUUCCAGCACAGCCGACAAUCCAGAGAGGAGUUAAGGCAGAGGGCUGUACCACUCGGCUUCCUACAGAUCGUCAUGAGGAGAUUGUGAACAACAGUGAAAUCUGAAAAAGGUGGAAAGUGAUCCUGUGGUGACAUUGAGGAAGACUACGGGGGUGUACGACGUGCUCUGCCCCCAACCCUAGAGCAGAAAAACAGAUGUGGAUCAGCAACGAUAGGAGAAGUGCCUUGCACAAACAACAAACAGGAGGGAAUGUCAGAAUUGAUCAUUUAAGAUCAUUAGCGAGACGCUCACUUCUGCUGUUUCAGCAUGACACACGUUAGGUCGUUGAUUGAUAUCAUACUUUGUAUGGUGUCAGGAAGUGACACACACACACACACACACACACACACACACACACACACACACACAUGCUUGUCUUGGUGGUUAAGUGAAUUGUGUGCAACCUCUGUUGUCAAUAAAAGAGUGAGGCGGAGCAGAGGAGUUGGAGUUGCUUGGACAGGCGAG